rnacentral:tRNA from 1 species
GGAGAGAUGGCUGAGUGGCCGAAAGCGGCACCCUGCUAAGGUGUUAUAUCCAUUAGGGUAUCGAGGGUUCGAAUCCCUCUCUCUCCGCCA